UAAUGAUAUUUAUAUAGUAUAUAACUGUUGUUAUUAAAUCUCUUUAUGUUAUUUAAUAAAAGGUAAUUUUAUAGAAGAUAAAUUUACUUAUUUUGUAUUUUAAAAAUAGGUUUUAGUUAAUGCCUGGCGAANC
rnacentral:rRNA from 1 species